AGUGAACGCUGGCGGUAGGCCUAACACAUGCAAGUCGAACGGCAGCACAGGAGAGCUUGCUCUCUGGGUGGCGAGUGGCGGACGGGUGAGGAAUACAUCGGAAUCUACCUUUUCGUGGGGGAUAACGUAGGGAAACUUACGCUAAUACCGCAUACGACCUACGGGUGAAAGUGGGGGACCGCAAGGCCUCACGCGAUUAGAUGAGCCGAUGUCCGAUUAGCUAGUUGGCGGGGUAAUGGCCCACCAAGGCGACGAUCGGUAGCGGGUCUGAGAGGAUGAUCAGCCACACUGGAGCUGAGACACGGUCCAGACUCCAACGGGAGGCAGCAGUGGGGAAUAUUGGACAAUGGGCGCAAGCCUGAUCCAGCCAUACCGCGUGGGUGAAGAAGGCCUUCGGGUUGUAAAGCCCUUUUGUUGGGAAAGAAAUCCUGUCGAUUAAUACUCGGUGGGGAUGACGGUACCCAAAGAAUAAGCACCGGCUAACUUCGUGCCAGCCGCCGCCGUAAAAC
rnacentral:rRNA from 1 species